GCGGGAGGCCGGGCCGCCGCUACCGCUGUUGCUUGCGCCGCGAAGUAAAAGGUACCUCACCCCUCCAUGAAAAAAAUAACAAGCUAGUUUUAGAAGAAACAAAUCAACAGCUAAAGAUGUUCAUCUUGUUUCUUUUCACGGGUCCCAUGCUGUUCUGAGGCCUGCUGCUUUGAGUGGUGAUGAUCAUCAUUGCCUCAACUGUUUCAAGAUCGUUUUCACUCUCUAUCCGUCACAAGGUGGUGGAGAAAAAUGUGGACGCUGGUAGAAGACCUGUGGAUCACUUCAGUUUUGAGGCAACGUGGAGAAGUUGCAAAGAGAAGACUGAAGAGGAAUGGUAUCUUGCUUAAGAAGGAGUUAAGACAUCUAAGCUGAUGCAAGCUAUUUUGGUGGUUCCAACUGAAGAGGGAGUGGUUUGGAAAUGAGAUAGUAAGAAACAGAAAGAAACAAGAAGUAAAAGAUAGUACUGCAGUUGGAGAAGGUAGUGUGUAAUUUACAGCACUCUUUUGGGCCUCUGAUUUCCAUUUAAUGGAAACGUUAACAAGGUAGAAAAAAGGGCUUGUGGUAAAGGAUGUGCAGUGUACAUAUUUAACACCAAUCUUGUACAUAUUUUUUUCAAGUCAUCUGCGGUUUAUAUAAUACUAUUGCCAUUAUACAGGAGAACAAUAACACCUGAACAUUAGGCAGAGACUUAGAUAUCCACCAGGUAUGUUUAAGAUUGCAAUAGUCUUUAAAAAAAAAAAAAAAAAAAAAAAAGCCUCAAUCAUUUAAAAUCAUAUCUACUUCUUUGCUGCCAUAAUUAUAUGCAUAUAAUUGCUAUUCAGUUAUUGCAGGGGGAGGGUAGCAAUAAAUGAGGGAGUUUUGUUUUAUGGUGUUCA
ensembl:lncRNA